UACAGAGGUCCCAAGCGUUGUUCGGAUUCACUGGGCGUAAAGGGUGCGUAGGUGGCCGUGGAAGUUCGAUGUGAAAGCUCGGAGCUUAACUCCGAAAUGGCAUUGAAUACUCGACGGCUCGAGGGUCGGAGGGGAGACUGGAAUUCUCGGUGUAGCAGUGAAAUGCGUAGAUAUCGAGAGGAACACCAGUGGCGAAGGCGAGUCUCUGGACGACACCUGACACUGAGGCACGAAAGCUAGGGGAGCAAACAGG
rnacentral:rRNA from 1 species